ACAUGUACCAAGUCUAAUUCAUGUCACUAUUACAUGCACUUUGAUACACAGACCAUCCAACUUUGAUUCAGGCUUUUUACAUCAUAUGGCUGAUCUAGAUGCUGUUUUAAGAGCACAGUCUGUACUGUUUGUGAUUGAAGAAGAAGUGGAAACAAAGCCAGAAAAUCUGUUGAGUCAUACAGAUAUUCUGUUUAAUAUGUCCCGAAACACAAACUUCAGCGAAGACCUACUUUAGAAAAGAUGCAUGGCAGCUUGUUUUAAAUACUCUCAAAGUAUUAGAAGAUAUGUAUAUUAGUAACACUCAGAAGUAUUAUGAUAAGAUUUCUCCAUGCCAGACAAGAAAAGGCAAAGCUUU